ensembl:misc_RNA
CUACCCGCCACGCGCUCUCAGCCGGCCUACGGGACGCAGCCCUCCCCCCACCUCCCCUUCUCGGCCUUCGCAAGUGUGGGCGCCUCGGGGCACUGGCGAGUCUCUCCAG